CCUGUUAGCUCGAGUGGAGAAACAGCUGAACCACUCCUCCUUUUUUAACACCCAAAACAAACGCUAAUUCCAUACCCCUAUCUCUCUCUCUCUCUCUCUCCCCAGAACUCCCCGCCUUACCAAUAAAUAAUGUCAAGAGAAACCCAGACAAUCGAGACUGCCGAUGGAAUCAAACUCGACGCCAGGAUCUUCAGACCACCAACACAAGCGGAAAACCCAAACCCAGAACCUGAAUCAGAAGAGGAAGGCUCUUUUGCAAUCGUGCUGGUCCAUCCCUACUCGGUGCUGGGCGGAUGCCAAGGCCUGAUGAAGGGCAUCGCACUUGGACUCGCCCGCAGAGGAUUCCACGCCGUUACCUUCGACAUGAGGGGCGUCGGUAAGUCCUCUGGUAGGCCUUCUCUCACCGGAUCCUCUGAAGUGCGCGACGUCAUUUCUGUGUGCAAAUGGGUCGCCCAGAAUUUCAGCGUGAGACGAAUUUUGUUGGUGGGUUCCUCUGCAGGUGCUCCAAUUGCUGGCUCAGCAGUCGACCAGUUAGACGAAGUCGUGGGUUAUGUGAGUUUGGGUUAUCCUUUUGGUCUCACUGCCUCCAUUCUCUUUGGAGGACAUCACAAAGCCAUUCUACAAUCUCCUAAACCAAAACUUUUUGUUAUGGGUACCCGAGAUGGAUUCACUAGCGUUAAACAAUUGCAAAACAAAUUGAAAUCUGCCGCAGGUCGUGUUGAAACUCAUCUAAUCGAAGGAGUAAGCCAUUUCCAAAUGGAAGGACCAGAUUACGAUGCUCAGAUGGUCGAUUUGAUUGUUCGAUUCAUUAGGUCAUUGUCCAAUUUGGCUAGCCCAGUUGCUCUUGAUCAGCUUGCUGAUGAAUGAACAAUUGCAUAAGUCCUAGGUGUUGAACUUUGUACUUGGCACAAGAGAUGGUGACAUUUGAUAAACCUCAUCUGGUAAAGUUCCUCCAACGGAAGGUGGGUCUCAAGUGGAUGGAGACACGAGUCCUGCUUUGUCCAAGUGUCUAAUCAAGAGUGUUUAAGAUCAAGUGUGUCAUGUUGAUCUCGGGUGUGGGGAUGUAUGUAGCUCGGAGAUGGGAGCUAUCGAAAUGUGAUUUCAUUCAAUCGUGGUAGCAAAUCAACCAAAAAGGAGACAACGAAGCACAACUCCAGGACUACAGCAUAUGAAGGAAUGUUGAACAGCUUUAUAGCAAUGACUGUCCUUCCAAGUGGGGCAUGAAGACAUUCAGAUUAGCUACAUACAAAGAUAAAAAGUAAAUAAAUAGUCAUCACAUCAUCGUUUGCUAUGCUAUCGCAGCUCCUAAACAAUCACAUCUAUUCAACUCCGCCUUGAACUCAGGACUGAAUUUCAGUGUAGUGCAUGCUUCUCCAUCCUCCAUUCCUUGAUUGUCCAUGUGAAAUUUGCGGCUCCCCAUCUGAAUUUGAAACAAAGCAAAAGAGAAAGGGAAAUGGGAAAAAACAAACUAAACUUUAAUUAUAAUUGCUCGAAUCAAGAGCAUCAAGAUCACAUUCUCAGAAAGGUAUAAAGCAAUGGUAUCAAGUUCCAUGGUAUGUAAUUACAGAAACAAGAAGUUUUUUUCAUUUGACGACAGAUGGACAGAUUAUGAGCCUGUUUCUGCAAAAAGUAAUCUCAUUUACAAUUGUAAUACUCCACUUGACAAGAAAAGAACAGCUAAGGUGAAAAGAAAAAUAAAGGUUCCUCAAAAUGUUAUUUUUAUCAUCACCAGUAAACUUCUUUCCCAACAG